GAUGAACGCUGGCGGCGUGCCUAAUACAUGCAAGUCGAACGAACAGACGAUGAUCUUGCGCGUCUGUUGUUAGCGGCGGGCGGGAGAGUAACACGUGUAUAACCUACCUAUCAGACGGGUAAAACUUCGGGAAACGGGCGCUUAUACCAGAGAACAUGUUGAAGCACGGUGGGGGACGGUGAGAGACGGCUUUUCGGGCUCGUCUAGCGGGAUCCGCGCCUGAUUAGAUGGUUGUGAGGGUAACGGGUUACGAAGGGAACGAGGCGUAGACGAAGGGAGAGGGUGAUCGGCCACACUGGAACGGGGACACGGACCAGAGUACUACGGGAGGCAGCAGUAGGGAAUCUUACGCAAUGGUCGAAAGUAUGACGGAGCAACGCCGAGUGAGUGAAGACGGUCUCCGGAUCGUAAAACCCUGUUAUUAGGGAAGAACAAAUGUGUCCGUAAACAUGGCCGUAUUGACGGUACCUGAUAAGAAAGCACCGGCUAACUACGUG
rnacentral:rRNA from 1 species